GCUACAACUACACAAGUCAAUUUGCUGAAAUUGAGGGAAAAAUAUGAUGCAGAGUACAGAGCAUAGAGAAGUAGUAGUUAAUUUCAAUUUGGAAAGGAGGGAAGAGGCUUGUUGGUAACUUGAGAAGGGUACUGAAGCAUAGACAAGAUUUCAUGGGUAGCCAAGAGGGACAGUCACAAGGACCUUUUUCCAAGAAACAAGUCUUGCUCCGUCACCCAGGCUGCAGUGCGGUAGUGUGAUCUUGGCUCACUACAACCUCCAUCUUCAGGGUUCAAGUGAUUCCCUUGCCUCAGCCUCCCGAGUAACUGGGACUAUAGGCACACACCACCAUACCCAGCUUUUUCCUAAUUUAGUGCCACUAUGUAAGCAGCCAACUCCUCCAGGAUGGAUCCUGGACAAUCUCCCGAAGAUCCUUGCUUCCUGUCUCCAUGGCCUCCCUAAGAACAGACAUGAGUUCUAACAACAGCAUGGCCACUUACUAGCUGUGAUAAAUCAUUCUGUCUCCCUGAACUUCAGUUUUCUCAUUCAUAGCUUCACGCCUGACAUGCCUAACUCACAGUCAACAAGAGAACACAAUGAUAAAGUUGUGGAGAUGUGAAAGUGUUUUGAGAAAUACGAAGUUCUGUGUGAAUGAUCAGUGCCUAUUCCUGAUCUCCAAAGUGAGUUUCGUCAUUUUCCUGGUCAAUCG
rnacentral:lncRNA from 13 species